rnacentral:rRNA from 1 species
AUACGGAGGGUGCAAGCGUUAAUCGGAAUCACUGGGCGUAAAGCGCACGUAGGUCUUGUUUGGUAAGUCAGGGGUGAAAUCCCGCAGCUCAACUGCGGAAUUGCCCUUGAUACUGCUGGACUUGAGUUCGGGAGAGGGUGGCGGAAUUCCAGGUGUAGGAGUGAAAUCCGUAGAUAUCUGGAGGAACAUCAGUGGCGAAGGCGGCCACCUGGACCGAUACUGACGCUGAGGUGCGAAAGCGUGGGGAGC